CCUACGGGAGGCUGCAGUGAGGAAUAUUGGUCAAUGGACGAGAGUCUGAACCAGCCAAGUAGCGUGAAGGAUGACUGCCCUAUGGGUUGUAAACUUCUUUUAUAUGGGAAUAAAACAGGGUAUGCAUACCCUCUUGUAUGUACCAUAUGAAUAAGGAUCGGCUAACUCCGUGCCAGCAGCCGCGGUAAUACGGAGGAUCCGAGCGUUAUCCGGAUUUAAUGGGUUUAAAGGGAGCGUAGGUGGGUUGGUAAGUCAGUUGUGAAAGUUUGCGGAGCAACCGUAAAAUUGCAGUUGAUACUGGCAGUCGUGAGUACAGUAGAGGUGGGCGGAAUUCGUGGUGUAGCGGUGAAAUGCUUAGAUAUCACGAAGAACUCCGAUUGCGAAGGCAGCUCAGUGGACUGCAACUGACACUGAUGCUCGAAAGUGUGGGUAUCAAACAGGAUUAGAUACCCCUGUAGUC
rnacentral:rRNA from 1 species